CAGAACGAACGCUGGCGGCAGGCCUAACACAUGCAAGUCGAGCGAUCCUUCGGGAUAGCGGCGGACGGGUGAGUAACGCGUGGGAACGUGCCCGAUGGUGCGGGAUAGCCUCUGGAAACGGAGAUUAAUACCGCAUGUACCCUACGGGGGAAAGAUUCAUCGCCAUCGGAUCGGCCCGCGUUGGAUUAGGUAGUUGGUGGGGUAACGGCCUACCAAGCCGACGAUCCAUAGCUGGUUUGAGAGGAUGAUCAGCCACACUGGGACUGAGACACGGCCCAGACUCCUACGGGAGGCAGCAGUGGGGAAUCAUAGACAAUGGGGGAAACCCUGAUCUUGCCAUGCCGCGUGAGCGAUGAAGGCCCUAGGGUUGUAAAGCUCUUUCGCCAGGGAAGAUAAUGACGGUACCUGGUAAAGAAACCCCGGCUAACUCCGUGCCAGCAGCCGCGGUAAUACGGAGGGGGUUAGCGUUGUUCGGAAUUACUGGGCGUAAAGCGCACGUAGGCGGACUGGAAAGUUGGGGGUGAAAUCCCAGGGCUCAACCCUGGAACUGCCUUCAAAACUGUCAGUCUGGAGUCCGAGAGAGGUGAGUGGAACUCCGAGUGUAGAGGUGAAAUUCGUAGAUAUUCGGAAGAACACCAGUGGCGAAGGCGGCUCACUGGCUCGGUACUGACGCUGAGGUGCGAAAGUGUGGGGAGCAAACAGGAUUAGGUACCCUGGUAGUCCACACCGUAAACGAUGAAUGCCAGACGUCGGGCAGCAUGCUGUUCGGUGUCACACCUAACGGAUUAAGCAUUCCGCCUGGGGAGUACGGCCGCAAGGUUAAAACUCAAAGGAAUUGACGGUGGCCCGCACAAGCGGUGGAGCAUGUGGUUUACUUCGAAGCAACGCGCAGAA
rnacentral:rRNA from 1 species